UAUAUACAUGGAAGCAGAAUGUU
rnacentral:piRNA from 1 species